UACAGAGGUCUCAAGCGUUGUUCGGAUUCAUUGGGCGUAAAGGGUGCGUAGGCGGCGCGGUAAGUCGGGGUGUGAAAUCUUGGAGCUUAACUCCGAAACUGCAUUCGAUACUGCCGUGCUUGAGGACUGGAGAGGAGACUGGAAUUUACGGUGUAGCGGUGAAAUGCGUAGAUAUCGUAAGGAAGACCAGUGGCGAAGGCGGGUCCUCUGGACAGUUCCUGACGCUGAGGCACGGAAGGUCAGGGGAGCAAACGGG
rnacentral:rRNA from 1 species